rnacentral:rRNA from 1 species
UACGAAGGGUGCAAACGUUGCUCGGAAUUAUUGGGCGUAAAGCGCACGUAGGCGGCUUGGCAAGUCGGAUGUGAAAUCCCUCGGCUCAACCAAGGAAGUGCAUCCGAAACUGCUGAGCUUGAGCACGAAAGAGGAUCGCGGAAUUCCCGGUGUAGAGGUGAAAUUCGUAGAUAUCGGGAGGAACACCAGUGGCGAAGGCGGCGAUCUGGGUCGAUACUGACGCUGAGGUGCGAAAGCGUGGGGAGCAAACAGG